GGAGACCUGACGGUGCUGAAGAACUGGCGCCCUGUGGCAUUGCUGUGCACAGACUGCAAGCUGCUCUCAAAAGCGUUAGCCUCCAGACUGGGGAAGGUGAUGGAGCAGGUGGUGCAUCGUGACCAGACGUACUGUGUGCCUGGUAGGUCUAUCUUUGAUAAUGUUUACUUAAUUCGGGAUGUUUUGGACGUCUCCAGGCUAUUGGGUUUGAGGGCUGGUCUUAUUUUCUUAGACCAGGAAAAGGCAUUUGACCGGGUUGGACUUGUUUUUCCUCUCUACCUCAGGGUGCAUGUCGGCAGCAAGACUAGCCAUUUUACUUACAGCAGUGGACUAAACCAAAAUUACAUUCAGGUUGACCUGUGUACCCCCCGUUUCUCUGUCCCUUCCAGGCCUGCAGACCUACAAGAGGACUGGAUGACCCUCGCUGUCACUCUCUCCAGGAAACAGACACUUAGACAUCGCUGGACUGCACGAGUGUCACCGUCCUGA
ensembl:lncRNA